UACGAAGGGGGCUAGCGUUGCUCGGAAUGACUGGGCGUAAAGGGCGCGUAGGCGGAUGGCACAGUCAGAUGUGAAAUUCCCGGGCUUAACCUGGGGGCUGCAUUUGAUACGUGUGAUCUGGAGUGAGGAAGAGGGUCGUGGAAUUCCCAGUGUAGAGGUGAAAUUCGUAGAUAUUGGGAAGAACACCGGUGGCGAAGGCGGCGACCUGGUCCUUGACUGACGCUGAGACGCGAAAGCCAGGGGAGCAAACGGG
rnacentral:rRNA from 1 species